GCUUGCUCCCUGUAGCCGAGUGGCGGACGGGUGAGUAACACGUGACCAACCUGUCUUCAGGAGGGGGAUAACCCGAGGAAACUUGGGCUAAUACCGCGUACUGUCCGAUCACCGCAUGGUGAACGGAUAAAAGGGGGCCUCUACUUGUAAGCUCCUGCCUGAUGAGGGGGUCGCGGCGUAUCAGCUUGUUGGUGGGGUAACGGCCUACCAAGGCUACGACGCGUAGCGGGUCUGAGAGGACGACCCGUCACAUUGGGACUGAGAUACGGCCCAGACUCCUACGGGAGGCAGCAGUGGGGAAUAUUGGACAAUGGGCGAAAGCCUGAUCCAGCAAUGCCGCGUGUGUGAAGAAGGCCUGCGGGUUGUAAGGCACUUUCAGUGGGGAGGAUAAUGACGUUACCCACAGAAGAAGCACCGGCUAACUCUGUGCCAGCAGCCGCGGUAAUACAGAGGGUGCGAGCGUUAAUCGGAAUUACUGGGCGUAAAGCGCGCGUAGGCGGUUUGGUCA
rnacentral:rRNA from 1 species